rnacentral:rRNA from 1 species
GAUGAACGCUAGCGGCAGGCCUAAUACAUGCAAGUCGAACGAUACCUUCCAGCUUGCUGGAGGGGAAAGUGGCGCACGGGUGCGUAACGCGUAUGCAACCUACCUUAAUCAGGGGGAUAGCCCGAAGAAAUUCGGAUUAACACCGCAUAAAAACACAGGACAGCAUUGUCCAAUGUUCAAAUAUUUAUAGGAUUAAGAUG